CCUACGGGAGGCAGCAGUGAGGAAUAUUGGUCAAUGGCCGGAAGGCUGAACCAGCCAAGCCGCGUGAAGGACGAAGGUGCUAAGGAUUGUAAACCUCUUUUGCCGAGGGACAAAAAGAGGCACGAGAGCCGGCACGAGGGUACCCGAAGAAAAAGCAUCGGCUAACUCCGUGCCAGCAGCCGCGGUAAUACGGAGGAUGCGAGCGUUAUCCGGAUUUAUUGGGUUUAAAGGGUGCGUAGGCGGACGGUUAAGUCAGCGGUAAAAGGCCGGGGCUCAACCCCGGCCAGCCGUUGAAACUGGGUGUCUUGAGUGGGCGAGAGGUAUGCGGAAUGCGCGGUGUAGCGGUGAAAUGCUUAGAUAUUGCGCAGAACUCCGAUUGCGAAGGCAGCGUACCGGCGGCGAACUGACGCUGAGGCACGAAAGCGUGGGUAUCGAACAGGAUUAGAUACCCUUGUAGUC
rnacentral:rRNA from 1 species